rnacentral:rRNA from 1 species
CGCGGCCUAUCAGCUUGUUGGUGGGGUAACGGCCCACCAAGGCAUCGACGGGUAGCUGGUCUGAGAGGACGAUCAGCCACACUGGGACUGAGACACGGCCCAGACUCCUACGGGAGGCAGCAGUGGGGAACAUUGCGCAAUGGGCGAAAGCCUGACGCAGCAACGCCGCGUGGGGGAUGACGGCCUUCGGGUUGUAAACCCCUUUCAGCAGGGACGAAAAUGACGGUACCUGCAGAAGAAGCCCCGGCCAACUACGUGCCAGCAGCCGCGGUAACACGUAGGGGGCGAGCGUUGUCCGGAUUUAUUGGGCGUAAAGAGCUCGUAGGCGGUUGCGUAAGUCGGAUGUGAAAACUCAGGGCUCAACCCGGAGACGCCAUCCGAUACUGCGCUGACUAGAGUCCGGUAGGGGAGCAUGGAAUUCCUGGUGUAGCGGUGAAAUGCGCAGAUAUCAGGAGGAACACCAGUGGCGAAGGCGGUGCUCCGGGCCGGUACUGACGCUGAGGAGCGAAAGCGUGGGUAGCGAACAGGAUUAGAUACCCUGGUAGUCCACGCCGUAAACGUUGGGCACUAGGUGUGGGGCCUACUUAACGGGUUCCGUGCCGUAGCUAACGCAUUAAGUGCCCCGCCUGGGGAGUACGG